GGUUUCUCUGUGUAGCCCUGGCUGUCCUGGAACUCACUCUGUAGACCAGGCUGGCCUUGAACUCAGAAAUCCACCUGCCUCUGCCUCCCGAGUGCUGGGAUUAAAGGCGUGCGCCACCACUGCCC
rnacentral:miRNA from 1 species